UCGACGGUUAAGCAUCUUCGGAUGUGUAUAAAGUGGCGAGCGGCUGAGUAACACGUGGGCAACCUGCCCUUUGCACUGGGAUAGCCUCGGGAAACCGAGGUUAAUACCGGAUACUCCAUAUUUGUCGCAUGGCGAAUAUGGGAAAGCUCCGGCGGCAAAGGAUGGGCCCGCGGCCUGUUAGCUAGUUGGUGGGGUAGUGGCCUACCAAGGCAAUGAUGGGUAGCCGGGUUGAGAGACCGACCGGCCAGAUUGGGACUGAGACACGGCCCAGACUCCUACGGGAGGCAGCAGUGGGGAAUCUUGCACAAUGGGCGAAAGCCUGAUGCAGCGACGCCGCGUGCGGGAUGAAGGCCUUCGGGUUGUAAACCGCUUUCAGCAGGGACGAGGCCGCAAGGUGACGGUACCUGCAGAAGAAGCCCCGGCUAACUACGUGCCAGCAGCCGCGGUAAUACGUAGGGGGCAAGCGUUAUCCGGAUUCAUUGGGCGUAAAGCGCGCGUAGGCGGUCUGUUAGGUCAGGAGUUAAAUCUGGGGGCUCAACCCCUAUCCGCUCCUGAUACCGGCAGGCUUGAGUCUGGUAGGGGAAGAUGGAAUUCCAAGUGUAGCGGUGAAAUGCGCAGAUAUUUGGAAGAACACCGGUGGCGAAGGCGGUCUUCUGGGCCAUGACUGACGCUGAGGCGCGAAAGCUAGGGGAGCGAACAGGAUUAGAUACCCUGGUAGUCCUAGCUGUAAACGAUGGACACUAGGUGUGGGGAGAUUAUACUUUCCGUGCCGCAGCUAACGCAUUAAGUGUCCCGCCUGGGGAGUACGGUCGCAAGACUAAAACUCAAAG
rnacentral:rRNA from 1 species